AUUGAACGCUGGCGGCAGGCCUAACACAUGCAAGUCGAGCGGAGCGGCGGACGGGUGAGUAAUGCCUAGGAAUCUGCCUGGUAGUGGGGGAUAACGUCCGGAAACGGGCGCUAAUACCGCAUACUAUCAGAUGAGCCUAGGUCGGAUUAGCUGGUUGGUGGGGUAAAGGCCUACAAAGGCGACGAUCCGUAACUGGUCUGAGAGGAGGAUCAGUCAACCUGGAACUGAGACACGGUCCGAACUCCUACGGGAGUCAGGAGUGGGGAAUAUUGGGAAAUGGGCGAAAGCCUGAGGCAGCCAUGCCGCGUGGAUGAAGAGGGCCUUCUGGUUGUAAAGUCCUUUCAGCGGGGAGGCGUUACCCGCAGAAGAAGCACCGGCUAACUCCGUGCCAGCAGCCGCGGUAAUUC
rnacentral:rRNA from 1 species